GGACUGGUCUACUCUGGUGACCAGUCUAGCAAAUAGCCUAACUGUCAUCAUAAAGCCUUUGUCCAGUGACUGAUGGAGGCAGAUUCAGAGAUCCAUGGCCAGGCACCAGGCUGAGCUCUGGAAAUCCAAUUGAUGAGAGAGAGAAGGGAUUCUGCAGGCAGGGGACAUCAAGAUCAUGACGGGAAGACAUGCAGAGAUGACUGGCCACACUAGUGGAAGCCCAUGAACUGUAGACUAGUGGCUGUGGAGCCCCCACGGGACUGGACUAGGCCCUCUGGAUAUGGAAGACGGUUGUUUGGCUCAAACUGUUUGGGGGGCACCCAGCCCAUUCAGGAGGGAAUCCUGCACCACAAUCUGGCUGUUUACGUGCUAAGCAAGGAUUUCUACAAAGACUAAACAAGGAGUGAAAGGAGCUUCUCCAAGGAUUGAGUUUAACUUGCUCCAUUGAAGAUGAAAAUUCCAGACACAAGGAAGCUAAGUCUAUGGUGACUGCCCUCUGCAGCAUAGCAGAACAUAGGAGAUGCAAACAGACCAAGGACAAACACCUUUGGGAAGAAUUUCCACCUGCCAGUGUGGCAAAGCUCCGGAGAGGUCAGUGUGCUUUGUCUCCUUGUCCCCAUCUGAGGAGGAUGCUAAGAAGCCCCUCCA